rnacentral:lncRNA from 1 species
AAUCGUUUCAAAGCACCGAGGCAUGCUGUAAUUUCAAGGCGUGUGGCUGAAUUGGGAGAUGAAAGCACCGAAACUACUUCGACGAACUUUAAGACUGUCAUUGAAAAUGUCGAAUCUAAAUUGCUGCUGCCGAGCUCCUCUGAUAAAAUUUGUGGACUUCAGAUAUUAUCAAAUGUUUUAGACGAGCCGGGAGUAUUGAAAGAAAUUAUUGAGACCAAAAUCACGAAGUUGAUAGCUCCAUGUCUUGUUGACUCUCAUCCCUCUCUAAGAAAUGUUGCGGCUGCAACCUUGAGGUACGUAUCUUUAUAAGUCCUGCAUCACUUGGAUUAUCCUUGGCAAGAAUACAUGAAACCUAUCAUUGUAUUACCUAAGAUAAAAAACUUUCCAGAAACAAGGUUUAUGAUGACAUACUUAUCUUCAUUUUCAAAGAAAGUAUAGAAGUUAAGUUUCAAAGUCUGUGACUUUGGAUAUCCUUCCACAAUGGACCAGUAGACAAGGCGCAAAUUUCAGCAUUCUGAUACACAUUUCAUAGCCCAAAUUUCACGUAGAACACGUUGCGCACAACAAAAAUGACCAAAAUCAACUCCUUACGAAGAUAUUUAAUGAUUUUUGAUGCAUGAAUUGAAACCACCCGCUUAUGAAAACUCAAUGCUCUACGUGAUUCACAUCGCGCGCUAAACGUUAUCAUGACAGUCUCUGCGAUAUAAAAAUCUGGCAACCUCAAUCUUGACGCUUUGGCUCAGCUUUAGCAAGUUGUUUAUAGUUUGAACAACACACGGUGGGAAAUGAACAUUGCUCGAUUGAGAAGCUUGCUGAAACCGUUGUAGUGCACGAUUUGACUCACGUAGAGCUUUGAGUUUCUUGUGAGCGGGCAGUUCAAAUUCCUCGUGACCAAUGUGAAAUAAAAACGUUAAUAUCUUUGUUAGGAGUUGAUUUCGGUAAUUUUCAUCGCACGAAUCGUGUUUUAUGUGAAAUUCUGGUCAAGAAACAUGUAUCAGAAUGCUUAAAUUCGUACCAUGUCUAGUGGUCCAUUUGUUGAAAAGAAAGAAGUAAAAUUUGAAAAUUCACUUAAAAAAUUAAAAAAAUUUUAUCGAUAAUUGAAAUAUUUUGUAAAAGUUACUUAAGGAAAUCCCUAUUGAGUUACUUAAAAUCGCUUAUCUCUAAUUUUCAAGCUUAUUUCGUCCUCAGUGGUAAUCUAGAUGAGUUGGAAAGUCGCCUAGAUCACAAUUUCUCUCUGUCCCUUGACAAUUCGACUUAACCAGAUUUCACUGUAAAAGGAUCUUUUACGUUUGGUAAAAUUCAAAUAUUUUCACUAAGCAUUUACAGGUUGUUAAGUAAUAGAGUCUGUAUGCCUCAGACAUAUUUUGUUUUCUCCCUUUCAGAAUUCUAAGUGAUCAUGGUGACUUAUGUGAUGCUCUUAUUGAACAGGACAUAAUGACCCCAGUUGUAGCUUUCAUUCAUAAGGUAUGUGUCAUUUAUUCAUUCGUUGACUCAGGGAUUUUUCCUCCUUGAAUUUCUCAAAUAACUUAAUCAGUUAGUAGCAAAUGAUCUAAAAAAAUUCUCAUCCAGGUGACCAUUGUAAUUGUUCAGUACCUGUCAUUUCCUCUCUUCGUACGUGGCCCUGGAUCAGUUGAGUUUUCCAUAUAGCACACAACGUGGACUUUUGAAUUUUCCUGAAAGUACCUGUUUUUUAAGAAGCUCUCAAUUUUGCAAAAAAUUGAUAGGUAAAGGGCACAAACUAAUGUCAUAUUUAAACUCAGCCCUAAAAAUUGAAUGGAGAUCAUUUAUAAAAUCUCCUGUAUUUGUAAAAUUGUUUUCUUUGUAGACUUGUCCUAUUGCCAUAAUAAUUGAGAAAACUUUGAGUGCCUGCAAUUCUUUUAAUGCGCAACCAGCUCAACUAAUAUGGGUGUUUCUUCAUGUUCUAGGGUCUUAAUUAAAACGCUACCAUGCUAUGACUCUCAAAUCUCUUGGCUAAAAAUCCCUGUUUAAUGGGACACAUAUUUUUCUCGAAUUUCAGCCUUGUCCCUGCUCUUAAGACUGUAUUUCUUUCAAAGUAACACACAGUGUUUUCAUGCCUAUUAUCGUCAACCUCACUCGAUGAUUUUUUUGUCUUUAGCAUCAUUAUUUUUGGCAGUAAGAUUAUUGCUCAAGUGGAACCAUGCCUUGUAGGUAGGUCAGAAAACCACCUUCUCUUCCUUGUUUCGGCGAAAUUUGAUCUUUGUCAGCAUUAAUGCAGGCAUUUUUCAUUUCAUUUUUCUGAUCUCCUAGGCAGUAUUUUGUCAAUUUUUAA